AUGAUGUAUUUAUAAUUAAAUAAUGAAUAUUUAUAAUAUAUAUAUUCGAUUUUCGCGCGUAAAAUUAAAAUGAAUAAAAAUAAAUUGAAGUAAACCACAUCGCUUCAACUAAUCAAAAAGGCCCAGUAACGAAACGAGUCAGUGCGCAUCAUAGUGCGCAUCAUAAUGCGCAUGGCAGUAGUUCAUAGUUGAAAAUCGUGGUAACGGCUGGUCACGUUUUGUUCUGAAGUGCGAAAUACUUAAAAUUCUUACCGAUAGGAUAUGAUAUUAUAAUUAUUAUUUAUAUUUAACAAUAAGUUUUAAUAAGUUUUGUAUAAUAUGCAUUUGUUUAAUCAUUAUUAUAGCAGAAUUGAAGAUUUUUGAUGAAGAUGACGAAGGUAAUAUAAAGAUAUAAAGAUCAAUUAUCAUUUCAUUGGAACUUCGAAGACAAGAUGGCUUGAAAAAUAAAAUUGGUGGUUCGUUAUUGUAUUAUAUUCUGUAUGUUCAAUUUGUCAGAUUGUUGUUGAGCAUAUUCUCUUUCUGUUUUGAAAUUCGAUACAUCGAAUUAGUUACGCUAAAUUUCAUUCUACUGUUGACAUUCGUGACGAUUAGAAUUUCUUCAAGUGUGCUUUAUCUAUUUGGUUGGAAAAAAUUUUCAAUAUGGAUGUCAUGAUAUAUUUUACAUAAAGAAAAAAAAAAUAUAAAUAAAUAUUUAAAAUAUAAAUAAUAUAAAUAAAUAAAUAUUUUUAUUGUAAAAAAUGAUGAUAUAAAAGGAAAAGAAUGAGGAAUAGAAAGAGGAUGUUAGAGCACGGAUGAGUCGAAGAAGAGUCUGACCACAUAUAGAAGGAAGAUAUUGGCUAUAUGCAUGAAUACAGUGUGUCUUCUUUGAGACAAGGCAAACAAUCAACGAUGACAAACAAUCAUAAAGGGAAUAAGAAUUCAAUUUUCUUCAGACUUCAGCCAGAAUUGAAGAUUUUUGAUGAAGAUGACGAAGGUAAUAUAAAGAUAUAAAGAUCAAUUAUCAUUUCAUUGGAACUUCGAAGACAAGAUGGCUUGAAAAAUAAAAUUGGUGGUUCGUUAUUGUAUUAUAUUCUGUAUGUUCAAUUUGUCGAAUUGUUGUUGAGCAUAUUCUCUUUCUGUUUUGAAAUUCGAUACAUCGAAUUAGUUACGCUAAAUUUCAUUCUACUGUUGACAUUCGUGACGAUUAGAAUUUCUUCAAGUGUGCUUUAUCUAUUUGGUUGGAAAAAAUUUUCAAUAUGGAUGUCAUGAUAUAUUUUACAUAAAGAAAAAAAAAAUAUAAAUAAAUAUUUAAAAUAUAAAUAAUAUAAAUAAAUAAAUAUUUUAUUGUAAAAAAUGAUGAUAUAAAAGGAAAAGAAUGAGGAAUAGAAAGAGGAUGUUAGAGCACGGAUGAGUCGAAGAAGAGUCUGACCACAUAUAGAAGAAAAGAUAUUGGCUAUAUGCAUGAAUACAGUGUGUCUUCUUUGAGACAAGGCAAACAAUCAACGAUGACAAACAAUCAUAAAGGGAAUAAGAAUUCAAUUUUCUUCAGACUUCAGCCAGAAUUGAAGAUUUUUGAUGAAGAUGACGAAGGUAAUAUAAAGAUAUAAAGAUCAAUUAUCAUUUCAUUGGAACUUCGAAGACAAGAUGGCUUGAAAAAUAAAAUUGGUGGUUCGUUAUUGUAUUAUAUUCUGUAUGUUCAAUUUGUCGAAUUGUUGUUGAGCAUAUUCUCUUUCUGUUUUGAAAUUCGAUACAUCGAAUUAGUUACGCUAAAUUUCAUUCUACUGUUGACAUUCGUGACGAUUAGAAUUUCUUCAAGUGUGCUUUAUCUAUUUGGUUGGAAAAAAUUUUCAAUAUGGAUGUCAUGAUAUAUUUUACAUAAAGAAAAAAAAAAUAUAAAUAAAUAUUUAAAAUAUAAAUAAUAUAAAUAAAUAAAUAUUUUUAUUGUAAAAAAUGAUGAUAUAAAAGGAAAAGAAUGAGGAAUAGAAGAGGAUGUUAGAGCACGGAUGAGUCGAAGAAGAGUCUGACCACAUAUAGAAGAAAAGAUAUUGGCUAUAUGCAUGAAUACAGUGUGUCUUCUUUGAGACAAGGCAAACAAUCAACGAUGACAAACAAUCAUAAAGGGAAUAAGAAUUCAAUUUUCUUCAGACUUCAGCGUGAGUAUCAGAUAUGCAUUCACAAUCACAUUUGCAUAUAUAAUACAAUAUUUAUAUAAUCUAUUAUAAAAUAUAACUUAUGAUCAUUCUUUCUUAAUUUAAUUUAAUUAUGAUUUUAAUUUUUAUAUAGUUUUUAUAUUUACACGAAGUACAUAAUAGACGUGAUAUAUGAAAAUCCUUUUUCAUAUUUUAGAAAUUCAAAACCUUAAUUAUUUUCGUAUUUUUAGAUUUUUUUUUUCUUUAUUUUAGAUUUUAAUUUCGUAUUUUUUAGAUUUUAGAUUUUUGUAUUAAGAUCUAGACUAAAAUAUUUAAAAAUUUUAUGAUUGAGUAAUGUUGAAUGAUGUGAAACUUAACUUUAUUUUUAAUGUAAAUGAUAUGGGUGAUUUUUUAAAAUGAUCUAUGUAUGGUAUAAGAAUAAAAAAUUGAAAUUAAUAUAAAAAUUUAUAUACUUUAUUGUAUAUUUUAUUUAUUUUAUAUAAUUUUUAUAUUAAUAUUAAAUUAUAUUAAUAUUUAUAUAAAAUUUUUAAUUUAUUUUUCGGCAUCUUUCUAAUUUAACAUUUAUCUUCUAUUAUGUACAAGAAUUCUCUUUAUUCUUUUUCUGUUAUACUUUGUAAUUUAGAUAUACUUUACAUUAACUUCUGUUUCAUAAUAUAUUUUUUUCAAAUUUUCAAUUUUUACUUUAAAUGUUUAAUUUUACAAAUGGAUAAUUUUUAUAAUAAAUUAAAUUAAAUAAUUUAUUUUUAUUAUAUUUUCAAUUGACAUAUGUUUGUAAGAUUAUGAUGUAUUUAUAAUUAAAUAAUGAAUAUUUAUAAUAUAUAUAUUCGAUUUUCGCGCGUAAAAUUAAAAUGAAUAAAAAUAAAUUGAAGUAAACCACAUCGCUUCAACUAAUCAAAAAGGCCCAGUAACGAAACGAGUCAGUGCGCAUCAUAGUGCGCAUCAUAAUGCGCAUGGCAGUAGUUCAUAGUUGAAAAUCGUGGUAACGGCUGGUCACGUUUUGUUCUGAAGUGCGAAAUACUUAAAAUUCUUACCGAUAGGAUAUGAUAUUAUAAUUAUUAUUUAUAUUUAACAAUAAGUUUUAAUAAGUUUUGUAUAAUAUGCAUUUGUUUAAUCAUUAUUAUAGCAGAAUUGAAGAUUUUUGAUGAAGAUGACGAAGGUAAUAUAAAGAUAUAAAGAUCAAUUAUCAUUUCAUUGGAACUUCGAAGACAAGAUGGCUUGAAAAAUAAAAUUGGUGGUUCGUUAUUGUAUUAUAUUCUGUAUGUUCAAUUUGUCGAAUUGUUGUUGAGCAUAUUCUCUUUCUGUUUUGAAAUUCGAUACAUCGAAUUAGUUACGCUAAAUUUCAUUCUACUGUUGACAUUCGUGACGAUUAGAAUUUCUUCAAGUGUGCUUUAUCUAUUUGGUUGGAAAAAAUUUUCAAUAUGGAUGUCAUGAUAUAUUUUACAUAAAGAAAAAAAAAAUAUAAAUAAAUAUUUAAAAUAUAAAUAAUAUAAAUAAAUAAAUAUUUUUAUUGUAAAAAAUGAUGAUAUAAAAGGAAAAGAAUGAGGAAUAGAAAGAGGAUGUUAGAGCACGGAUGAGUCGAAGAAGAGUCUGACCACAUAUAGAAGAAAAGAUAUUGGCUAUAUGCAUGAAUACAGUGUGUCUUCUUUGAGACAAGGCAAACAAUCAACGAUGACAAACAAUCAUAAAGGGAAUAAGAAUUCAAUUUUCUUCAGACUUCAGCCAGAAUUGAAGAUUUUUGAUGAAGAUGACGAAGGUAAUAUAAAGAUAUAAAGAUCAAUUAUCAUUUCAUUGGAACUUCGAAGACAAGAUGGCUUGAAAAAUAUGAUAUAAAAGGAAAAGAAUGAGGAAUAGAAAGAGGAUGUUAGAGCACGGAUGAGUCGAAGAAGAGUCUGACCACAUAUAGAAGAAAAGAUAUUGGCUAUAUGCAUGAAUACAGUGUGUCUUCUUUGAGACAAGGCAAACAAUCAACGAUGACAAACAAUCAUAAAGGGAAUAAGAAUUCAAUUUUCUUCAGACUUCAGCCAGAAUUGAAGAUUUUUGAUGAAGAUGACGAAGGUAAUAUAAAGAUAUAAAGAUCAAUUAUCAUUUCAUUGGAACUUCGAAGACAAGAUGGCUUGAAAAAUAAAAUUGGUGGUUCGUUAUUGUAUUAUAUUCUGUAUGUUCAAUUUGUCGAAUUGUUGUUGAGCAUAUUCUCUUUCUGUUUUGAAAUUCGAUACAUCGAAUUAGUUACGCUAAAUUUCAUUCUACUGUUGACAUUCGUGACGAUUAGAAUUUCUUCAAGUGUGCUUUAUCUAUUUGGUUGGAAAAAAUUUUCAAUAUGGAUGUCAUGAUAUAUUUUACAUAAAGAAAAAAAAAAUAUAAAUAAAUAUUUAAAAUAUAAAUAAUAUAAAUAAAUAAAUAUUUUUAUUGUAAAAAAUGAUGAUAUAAAAGGAAAAGAAUGAGGAAUAGAAAGAGGAUGUUAGAGCACGGAUGAGUCGAAGAAGAGUCUGACCACAUAUAGAAGAAAAGAUAUUGGCUAUAUGCAUGAAUACAGUGUGUCUUCUUUGAGACAAGGCAAACAAUCAACGAUGACAAACAAUCAUAAAGGGAAUAAGAAUUCAAUUUUCUUCAGACUUCAGCCAGAAUUGAAGAUUUUUGAUGAAGAUGACGAAGGUAAUAUAAAGAUAUAAAGAUCAAUUAUCAUUUCAUUGGAACUUCGAAGACAAGAUGGCUUGAAAAAUAUGAUAUAAAAGGAAAAGAAUGAGGAAUAGAAAGAGGAUGUUAGAGCACGGAUGAGUCGAAGAAGAGUCUGACCACAUAUAGAAGAAAAGAUAUUGGCUAUAUGCAUGAAUACAGUGUGUCUUCUUUGAGACAAGGCAAACAAUCAACGAUGACAAACAAUCAUAAAGGGAAUAAGAAUUCAAUUUUCUUCAGACUUCAGCCAGAAUUGAAGAUUUUUGAUGAAGAUGACGAAGGUAAUAUAAAGAUAUAAAGAUCAAUUAUCAUUUCAUUGGAACUUCGAAGACAAGAUGGCUUGAAAAAUAUGAUAUAAAAGGAAAAGAAUGAGGAAUAGAAAGAGGAUGUUAGAGCACGGAUGAGUCGAAGAAGAGUCUGACCACAUAUAGAAGAAAAGAUAUUGGCUAUAUGCAUGAAUACAGUGUGUCUUCUUUGAGACAAGGCAAACAAUCAACGAUGACAAACAAUCAUAAAGGGAAUAAGAAUUCAAUUUUCUUCAGACUUCAGCCAGAAUUGAAGAUUUUUGAUGAAGAUGACGAAGGUAAUAUAAAGAUAUAAAGAUCAAUUAUCAUUUCAUUGGAACUUCGAAGACAAGAUGGCUUGAAAAAUAUGAUAUAAAAGGAAAAGAAUGAGGAAUAGAAAGAGGAUGUUAGAGCACGGAUGAGUCGAAGAAGAGUCUGACCACAUAUAGAAGAAAAGAUAUUGGCUAUAUGCAUGAAUACAGUGUGUCUUCUUUGAGACAAGGCAAACAAUCAACGAUGACAAACAAUCAUAAAGGGAAUAAGAAUUCAAUUUUCUUCAGACUUCAGCCAGAAUUGAAGAUUUUUGAUGAAGAUGACGAAGGUAAUAUAAAGAUAUAAAGAUCAAUUAUCAUUUCAUUGGAACUUCGAAGACAAGAUGGCUUGAAAAAUAUGAUAUAAAAGGAAAAGAAUGAGGAAUAGAAAGAGGAUGUUAGAGCACGGAUGAGUCGAAGAAGAGUCUGACCACAUAUAGAAGAAAAGAUAUUGGCUAUAUGCAUGAAUACAGUGUGUCUUCUUUGAGACAAGGCAAACAAUCAACGAUGACAAACAAUCAUAAAGGGAAUAAGAAUUCAAUUUUCUUCAGACUUCAGCAAUUGAAGAUUUUUGAUGAAGAUGACGAAGGUAAUAUAAAGAUAUAAAGAUCAAUUAUCAUUUCAUUGGAACUUCGAAGACAAGAUGGCUUGAAAAAUAAAAUUGGUGGUUCGUUAUUGUAUUAUAUUCUGUAUGUUCAAUUUGUCGAAUUGUUGUUGAGCAUAUUCUCUUUCUGUUUUGAAAUUCGAUACAUCGAAUUAGUUACGCUAAAUUUCAUUCUACUGUUGACAUUCGUGACGAUUAGAAUUUCUUCAAGUGUGCUUUAUCUAUUUGGUUGGAAAAAAUUUUCAAUAUGGAUGUCAUGAUAUAUUUUACAUAAAGAAAAAAAAAAUAUAAAUAAAUAUUUAAAAUAUAAAUAAUAUAAAUAAAUAAAUAUUUUUAUUGUAAAAA